UUUUAUUCUUGUCUUAUUCCGUUCGUAUUUCUGUGCUUAUUAAAGGUAAACGAAAGGACUUUGAGAUUUUUCCACUAUUGAUAGUGCCCGGGAAAAAUAUUUUUACGUUUUAAAUACAAAUAGAAUAGUAUUUAUUCUAUGAUCGAUUACAUUUCUUUCUUUUGUGCACGAGAUGUUCCAGAUUUCUUGUAUUUUUUUAUCCAGAUUUUUAUCCUCUCUGAAUUUUUCAAUCAGUUGAAGCUACAUAAAAAUUUUGAAGCCAUUUUUUUCUUAGUCAAGAACAUUAAGGGGAUCCUAAACUGGAUAAAAUUAUCGAUACAGUGUAGCGUAGAGUCCCAUUUUGAAUUGACUGCGCAGAAUGAAAAAUCCUUUUGCACAAUUAAAAUACGGACAAAAAGUGAGGGUGCGCUGAAUGACAAGAAAAUCGAUAUAAAAAAUUUUAAAAAUUACCUUUAUGUGUGUUGCUUUCGACCCGUAUGCUGUCAUCUGACACGUCAACAUUUCCACUUUAUAAUCAAUAAGUAAACAAUUGUAAUGUGUACCGUAGUAAUAAUGAGGUAUCGAGAGCACACAAGCAAGAUAUUGAGUCAACAUUUCCACUUUAUAAAAGUUAUACGGCUCGAAUGUGCAAAAUGCGAUCCAUCGCACCCUUCGGAUUACUGGCAUAAACAAUUUUGUGCUCCUGAAUUUACGAUUGAAAGCCUAUUUAAAAAAUGGGAUCUACGUUUUUUGCGUACGCGUAUAGUUAGCUAAAAUACAAAAUGAUAGCAAAGCAUCAAUUAUGUCUAAUAACAGAUGUUGCAAUAGAUGGCGCUUCAGUAUGAUAGAUAAAAGGAUAGUUGUACGCGUUUUGAGUGAGAUAGAACGAUAAGAAAUUGAAUUAAAGGUCUAUCACUAUUACCAAUGUUUUUAGUUUGAAAUUAAAAAUGUUUUAUCGUGAAGUUUAGUCUUCACUUUAGGAUUCCCUUAAGUUUCCCUUCUUUCAUGACGAGUCAACAAAUUUUUCCCAAAGUCCAUUUAUGCUUAAUAAAUAAUAUUAAUUUACGUAGUUAAAUGUCAAAAGCUAGAUUUUCUCUUAGGAUUGAAUUAAUUAGUUAAAGAAUCUGUAGAUGAUGGAGAUGAAAUAUUUGAGACAUCCUGUAUAUGUAGGGAAAGAGGGGAUUAUUUCAGACGCGAAUAAUUCGGAUUAAUCGAUUAUUUUUUAUUAUUUUGAACAAUUAUAAUCGGAAUAACGUUAGCUGUGCAUAGUAGAUAGAUGUUGAUACGUAAUUGUGACAAGUUCGAUGAAAAGGCAAGUAAGAUACGAUCACUUUUGCAAGAUCACUUUUGCAAGGUCACUUUUUGCAAAAACACUUUUGCAUAGCAUGAAAAAGUUAUUGAAACAAUCAACUCUCAAAUCGAUCUCGCAAAUAAGUAUUAGAAUGGCAUAUUAAAAGGUAUUUAAACGUUAAUAUUAGUUAAACAAUUUUUAAUAUUAUAUUGCUUAUUGAAUUUUGUGAGAAUCGAUAACUUUAAAAAAUCAUGUAAGUAUGAAUUAGUUUGCACAAAGCACAUGGGGCUAUUCGGACAGUGUCUAAUUUAAGACGUGAAGUUAGUUUAAUGUUCAAACGCACACAUUUGCUCAAUAUUUUUAUAAAAUUAAACAUUUAAUUAAACAAAAUGGUAAUUAUUUAUAAUUCAAAUUUUAAUUUUGAUGGAAAGAAUAAAAAGAAGCGGAAGAUCCUCCAUUGAAAGCUAACAUUGUUCGUGCCAUGCAAGCAAUGAUGAACGAAUGUUUCCAUUGAUGCAAAAGAAUGCUCAGUUUUUAUUAUGUCCGUACUAAAUCCUUAUAGGGUUAGUUCGGACAAAAACGUGAUAUUUUUAAAAAUAUUUUUUUUUAGUAAUUAGUACAUAAAUAGCGAAGAGAAAUAUAAUUAUUAGGCAGGGAAAUAAUGUAAAAUUUUAUUAAAUUUAUGACCUCCCCAAAAUUGAUCUCUCUACGUCUUCUAACUGAAAAAAAAAUAAAAUAAUGAUUUUCGUCCGGACUAAUCCUCCCUUCCUCUAUGUAUUAAAGAUAAGAUUAUUAACAUUAAAAAAUAUCAUCAAAACUACUUAUUUAUUAGAAUUCAUAUCCUUACAACCGUUGACAUAUAAUUCAAUUUAAAAAUCGGAAAUUUGUAUGUUGCGAAAGUCAGUGUUUGUUUUGCCAUUUCUGCUGGAUUUGCAUUACAAUUACAUACUGAUGCAUCAUUUUUUACGCAGGCCACUGCAACGUACGUCGCCCAAAUCGGCAACGAGCAAGAUCCAAUUUCUUUCAGGUGCUCUACGACACGGUAGAUCAAUAAGUAAACAAUUGUAAUGUGUAGCGCAAUAAUAAUGGACAGAGGUAUCGAGAGCACACAAGCAAGGUAUCGAGUUUGAGAGACAGAAUGCGAGAGGUAGAUGGAAUGAGAGAAAGACAGAGAGAGAGAGAGAGAGGGAGAAAGGGCGAAAUAUAUAGAUGAGGAUAGAGGGGAGAGAGUCAGGAGAGAAAGAGAGAGAGAGAGAGAGUGAGAGACAAAGCUUUGUAAUAAAUUAUAUUAAAUUUUUAUCGAUCUCUGUUAAUGCUGAGUGCAGAAGAAGAUCAUGAUCAUGAUUUGCCUCGCCGUAUUGGGCGUUGUCAUCGCUACCACCAUCGGUGGAUACUUCGGAUUGUGAACGCCAAAAUCAGAAAAGUCCAAAGACAUCAACAGCAUCGUGUACCUAAUUCUGAACCGCCGGCAGCAUCAGCAUUCACUCGUAUCGCUUCGAUACGUGAAGCUGAUCGCCAUCGAACGGAAGGAGAUCGUCAUUGUCGAAGAUUCCAUCAUCGGCGUACUUCUAUCUUCUAUCUUCUAACACCCAUCAUCGCUAGAGCCUUCUAUUAUGCACGUUCUCCAGUUCGACAUGAAGAAACCAAAAAGAUAAAGACUCAUCGCCGUUGUUUGUCGUCGUUGUCGUCGUCGUCGUCGUCGUCGUCGUCAUUAUCAUCAUCAUCGUUGCGUUUGCGUCAUCUUCGUCUCGAAAGUCUCCUCUGAUAGCUAGCGCGCUAUUCGCGUUUGGUAAAAAAAAAAGUAUGAAAAGAGGAAAAAGGAAACAUCUUUCGUUUUUCUGUUUGAGUAUCAAUUGGAUAAUUUUCCGACUCGAUUCAUCGUGCAACAGUCAAUUCCAAAUCGGUACUCUCCUCGUUGGCCUUUGCUCACUCCGCUCGUCACGCCGAAGCUUAAGAGCUGCAAAGCUCUCUUCCUCUCAUGGUUUCUUUCCCUCUCCUUCUCACAUCCCUCCGCUUGUUCCCUCUUCUCAUAUGAAUCACACAGCACAAGAUAACAGACGGGAGGCCUCGCGAACGGAACAGACCGAAAAAAAAUUGAGAUACGUUCUCUAUAGAACGCAACUGGAACUGGAUCGAUCGGAGAUACGUACGCAUCGUCGGUCAAGCGACAUCCCCGAUCGACGCUCUGACAUAUCGUCGACAGGACGACUAUUGACACGAGGACACUGCCGGUGUUCCCUGCCCCCCCCCUACCCCCUCCCCGUCUCUUUCUCCAGCGUGCGCACGAAUGUCCUUGUCGAAGUACCACGAGACAUCUCAUUGUGAGACAUUAUUACGCGUUGCAUGUCGAAAACGGCGGUUCACACAACGCAUGAAUCUUCGAUAAUGUUCCCGUUGCGACCCGAGCCCGACACCUAAUGGUGCUGCUAAACGCGAAGACGAUGAACGGCUCGCGGCUAUCGCUUUCCUUCUUAUUCUUCGUCGUCGCGAAAGUAACGUGCGACGACGCACGAGAUGCCGCUCGAAAAAAAGUGUUACCUUCUUUGACUGUGAUUUUUGCACACCGAGAAUCUCGGACAAGUCACUCCGGAGUCACAUUCUGAAAACGCCUCUCGCCCGUUUGACCCGAAUCUGUGUCCGCUUAUAUACGCGAGAGAGAGAGAGAGAUAAACCGCUGACAAAAAAUUUGUACGCCAAAUUUGCAUCGUCCAGAUAGUUCGUAACUAUUAAAUCAUCCCACGACGGUAUAUUACUAGAUAAAUAGCGUGCUAAUUGGUAUUAGUAAUUAUUCAUGAUAAUUUCUAGCGAUUUCUAUACGGUACACCUUGUGCGAAGACUUCAAAGUUGUCAACGAAGUUUCGCGAAGCUUUCUUGUAAAGAGAUCGAAAAAAAAAGAGCUAAAAUAGAGUUAGCGAUUGACUGGUGUUUACCAAAAAUUCAACGGAUACUGCUAUCUGAGUGGAGAAGAGAAUUAACAGCUAAGUAUAUACUCGCAAAGUUCUACUACCUCAAUCAGCGGUUUAACCCUCGGCUAUACAUAUCACACGCCAGUUCUGAGUAUAAAAACCUUUUUGGACAUCUCUAACACUACACCUCUCUGUAUCAGGAUGAUCAUGAUGGAAUCAGCUAGGGAAUGUUUCUUCUUCGCGGAAAACGGUAUGUCGAAUUACGAAUCGUGUAAAAAAAAAAAAUUGGAGAAGUAGAGCGUAACUCAGGGUAAAUUGUGCAUCAAGUGUUGGCUAACCACGGGCUUUACCAAAACUCCUCUUUUUUCCUACGCAUAAAAGACAGCAAGGCAUUUAAUAGUUUACGGUUAGGAGCACGGUGUGCUUCAACGCAAGCAUUCCCCUUCGUAUUACUCGCUGUUAGUUAACCAAUACUAAUUGAUACAAUUGACACCAAGCCCUCAGAGAGUGCUCGUUUAAUUUACGGCGAUUAAAGAACAUUAACGUGAGCAAUGUGAUUUUUAUAACGGGUAUUUUAAUCGGUAAAAGGGUGUCUUGCACCCUUUACCGUGUAUCUUGUUUGCUCUAACGACAGCUCACUCGAAAAGACGUUUCGACCAAUAGGUGUUCAGUGAGAGAAACAAUCAAUUCUUCCAGUAUUUCUAUUUAGCUGUAAUUAGCGCGAUAUCAUUAUCGCGAUAUAGCGAGGUGUAGACGAAGCGAUCGUGUCUUUUUUAUAGGCGUAUAAGAUGCGAAACGUCGUUUCAGAAUGUGGCCGGCAGAGGCGACGACACGUAAUGCUCAGGCACGUUACAGACGUUAGAAUAGACUUAAUUGUACGAUAUAUACGCGAGACAUGUAAACAGAUUCGAUUUUUUUUUUGCCUCUGGAUGAUUAAUUUGGCCGAUAUUAUUUUUCUUUUGUCGAGUCGAAAAGCUUGAAGUUUCUGAUUUCGUGUUGCACGAUACGCACCAUUAGGUAUUGGGUACAACAACGACUACGCGUAUCUUCUGUAAUCUCGCGGACCCUCGGGCAAAAGUAAUCCUCUCCUUGCGCACUGUUGUUUGAAAAAGUAUAACUUCUUUGUAUCUCACUAGUCUUGGAAAAUACGUCGCGCGAACGAUCAAUUCGAUUUUUUGAGUUUAUAUCUGCACUUGAUAGAGAUUGGCAAACUCACAUAUUCGUUACUUUUAUAGUAUUUUUUUUUUUAAUAAUUUUUCUUUACAAUGUGUAGCGCAUAGAUCCCGAAGCCAUCAUGUCGCGCACAUCGCCUCUAUAAAUAACGCGAGUCACCUUUCGUCGUCUCUCAAGAUUAGCAUAUAGAGCGUGUAUAUAUAUAUACGAAAUGAUUAUAACUUUCAAAUUAUAAAUUUUCCUGCGCACGAAAUUUUCUCACGAGUUUUCCCUUGUCAAAUUAUAUCGUGGGUUUCCGAAAUCUAUCAGUGCGGGAGGUGCAUCAUCUUCGAAACGAUUAACCCCAACAUGGACGAAGUAAUAAGAGAGGGCAUAAAUAAGUGUAAAGUGCAGUAAGCAAGAGCCAUUGCGUGAGAGUGAGAAUGCGCGAGUGUGUGUGUGUGUGUGUGUGUGUGUGUGUGUGUGUUACGUGUGUAUGUGUGCGCAUACGUGAGAAGCGGAGAAAAGGAGCCAUUAAGCUGCAGCAAUAAUAUAAUUAUAGGUGUUAUGGAAAAAAAAAAUUAAAGGAUAAUCUCAUCGGUGGAUUGAGAAAGAAUGAGCGACAUUGUAUGUACACGGAUAUGUAUACAUAUACAUAUUUAAAAAAAUAUAUAAAUCUAUAUAUAAAUAGAUAGGUAGAUAGAGAGAGAGAGAGAGAGAGAGAGAGGUGUGUCAUGACCGAGGAGAAAGAAGAAUACUAUUAAUAACAACAAUUAUUAUUAUUGGCAGCGCCUAUAUAUUGCUCCUCGACAGAUUAAUGUAUCAGGCAGAGUGCUGGCGACGUUAAUAAUGUUAAUACUUUUUGUUGAGUAUAUUAUAAUUAUUACGAACGUUGAGGUGCAUACAUUCUACAGAAGAUUAUGGAUUAAUGUUUAAACGAGAGGAAGGGCGAAAAGGAAGAAAAAUGAUAUAAACGGUGAACGAUUUGUGCGAUGCACGUUAUGCUGUAAUAAGUAAAUAAUAAUAAUAAUAAUAAUAAUAACGAUGAUUAUAAGAGAAGAUAUUAAGAUCACACCUUGCAUUGUACAGAAAGCAUAAUAAUUGUUAGUCUAAGUAGAACAAGCAUUACGAUCUAAUAUCUAAUUAUAAUCCAGUUACGAUUAAGAUGGCUAAGAUCUAAUUGCGUAAUCCCUCUGUCAUGAGUUACUGCGACCGUCGAUAGGUACACUACUCUCUGAUACUUAUAUUAUCUGGCUGAUAAGUGGAUUUCAUUGAAGAGAGGACGCUUCGUCCGUGUCGUCGAGAAGCGCUUUGCGUUAGUUAAAAGAGAGAGAAGAGGAAGCCUCUUUCGGCCGAAAAGAAAGGAUAGAGAAGAACGAGAGAAUCGCAUCGCGGACGCGAAAGCCAUACAUGUCUUCUUCUCUUUCGGCCACGUUAUUCUAUUCCCCCGAGUCGCCCAUAUCGAGUCGCCUAACUGAACGUGUAUUGUUGCGUAGUGCCUUACAAGGCAAACGCAAUCAGUUUUUCCUUCUCUUCGCUGUUUUAACAUCUGCAUCGAUCUUUUCGCGCAGUCUUGUUCACGUGCAAUCGCCUUAUUUCUCGAAUCAAUCAAUCAACCGAUUUCCGGUAACGGAUUAUUGUCGUGACGAGCCUGUCCGGACUAAUUCGACGUGUCCGCUCUCGCAGAGAAAUCCAUAACGCAGCCUCGGAUCUCGUAUUCUUUAGCUUUAUAGCGAACUCUUCGUGAUAGGAAUUGAGAGGAAGAAAAACACCUAUCGUCGUCAAUUUAUUAUGCUAGUUAAGAAAAAAAAAAAAGAGGGAGAGAGUAUUCUAUAAGAGUAAGCCGUUGUCGGCGCUGACAACAGCUGAUUGUACGUUAAACGAAUCUGGCCUAAAAAGAUUUAAAGAAUGUCGUGUCUCCUCGUUAACUGUCAAUCGAUUAUCUUGACGUUCAUUCUCCGUUUUCAUCCAUUUCAGUCCUCCCCCUCCCGCCCCUGCCAGGCUAAGGAUGGCCAUUCGGAUGUCUAAUCGCGUUGUUUUUAAUCUGUAUAAUCUUUUAUCGCUUUCGAUCUCGCUCAUUUCCUACGCGGAAUCCUCUUCACGCUCGCGACUUCGUCGUCGCCGUCAGUACGGUUAAGAAAAACGCAAGAAAGCAUCUUUCUUUUUCGCUUAGUUAGGAUCAGGUGUAUUGGUGAACGUCAGGUUUCAACGUCGCGAUCAGCGUUUUUCCCUUGCGAGCAUCUCGCGAUCAUUAGGUAAUAAAUUACGGGAAGCUGACACGUCUUCCUUUGAGAGUGUCCAUUUUUUUUGUACCGGACACAGAUGUAAUAAGACAUCGCAGCAAUUUAAAGCACAGCAAACGUGUCGAGAGGGACGAACUAUGAGAAACAUAAACAUUAAAUUAACAGUCACACAAUUUCCGUGUUCUCGAAUUAUAUUUAUUCGUCGCGAUUAGCCGAAGUACAUAUACAUACUGCGAGAGUUCGAAUAAAGAGAGAGAAAGAGAGAGAGAGAGAGAGAGAGAGAGAGAGAGAGAGAAGAACGGACAUUGUUUAAUAUUAGUAUUAAAUACGCUACUUCAUUGCAUUUAUACGUAGAAUAGGAUAGAAAGGAAAGAUUGUGCAGCGGAUACACAAUACAUAGGGAUUUUUGAAUGCGUGAUCCAUUUCCGGACAUAUAGAUAUAAUACACGCAGAAGAGGAAGAAGAGAAAGAAGAAAAAUGAGUAAUACAUGAAUGUGGACAGGAAGGGAUCGAUCUGGUGUCCGUGAAUAUGUGGAUCGAUGUCACGUUGGUGCAAUUAUUAAAUACGAGAGGCUACUUCAAUAACCUUAUGAGUGUCAAUUCCAAUUUCAAGUGUAAAUUGUAAUUUCGUGAGAGGCUUAAGGAAAAAAAGAGAAAAGGGGAAAAGCAAGAGAGUGGGGAGAGAGAGAGAGAGAGAGAGAGAGAUGAUGCGACGUCAAACGACAAGAGAAAAGAAUCGUAAACGGUUUAGAAUAAAAAAUAAAGAGGCACGCGCGUAUUGCAGCGUGGCAAAGUGAGA